CCGCAGGUCGAGGUAGUGACGAAAAUAACGAUACGGGACUCAUCCGAGGCCCCGUAAUCGGAAUGAGUACACUUUAAAACCGUCCCCGAGGAUCUAUUGGAGGGCAAGUCUGGUGCCAGCAGCCGCGGUAAUUCCAGCUCCAAUAGCGUAUAUUAAAGUUGUUGUGGUUAAAAAGCUCGUAGUUGGAUCUCAGCAGUUUGAGGUUGGUGUACUUGCUAGUAUUACUGCCCUAUAGACUGUAGUUUUGCCAGAGGUAGUUGGGUGCUCUUAAUCGAGUGUCCUAUUAUGCUGGCAGGUUUACUUUGAAAAAAUUAGAGUGCUCAAAGCAGGCUAUUACGCCUGAAUAUUCGUGCAUGGAAUAAUAGAAUAGGAAGUCGUUUCUAUUUUGUUGGUUUUUAAGUUUCGACUUAAUGAUUAAUAGGGACAAACGGGGGCAUUAGUAUUCAAGCGACAGAGGUGAAAUUCUUGGACCGCUUGAAGACUAACUACUGCGAAAGCAUUUGCCAAGAGUGUUUUCAUUAAUCAAGAACGAAAGUUAGAGGUUCGAAGGCGAUUAGAUACCGCCCUAGUUCUAACCAUAAACGAUGCCAGCUAGCGAUCUGCCGACGUUUUUUUUGUAGACUCGGCAGGAAGCUUCCGGGAAACCAAAGCAUUUGGGUUCCAGGGGAAGUAUGGUUGCAAAGCUGAAACUUAAAGGAAUUGACGGAAGGGCACCACCAGGAGUGGAGCCUGUGGCUUAAUUUGACUCAACACGGGAAAUCUCACCAGGCCCGGACACUGGAAGGAUUGACAGAUUGAUAGCUCUUUCUUGAUUCGGUGGGUGGUGGUGCAUGGCCGUUCUUAGUUGGUGGAGUGAUUUGUCUGGUUAAUUCCGAUAACGAACGAGACUCUGUCCUGCUAAAUAGUGUCGGCUUCUCUUUUGAGCCGACAAUUCUUCUUAGAGGGACUGGCAACUCUCAGUUGCACGAGAUUGAGCAAUAACAGGUCUGUGAUGCCCUUAGAUGUUCUGGGCCGCACACGCGCUACACUGAAUAGAUCAGCGUGUUUUCCCUUUCUGAGAAGAACGGGUAAACCGCUGAACCCUAUUCGUGGUAGGGAUCGGGGCUUGCAAUUGUUCCCCGUGAACCAGGAAUUCCCAGUAGGCGCCAGUCAUAAGCUGGCGUCGAUUACGUCCCUGCCCUUUGUACACACCGCCCGUCGCUACUACCGAUUGAACGUUUUAGUGAGGUCCUCGGACUGUUUGGCUGGCGGAUUACUCUGCCUGCCUGGCGG
rnacentral:rRNA from 1 species